rnacentral:rRNA from 1 species
AUUGAACGCUGGCGGCAGGCUUAACACAUGCAAGUCGAGCGGGGUGAUGGUGCUUGCACUAUCACUUAGCGGCGGACGGGUGAGUAAUGCUUAGGAAUCUGCCUAUUAGUGGGGGACAACAUCUCGAAAGGGAUGCUAAUACCGCAUACGUCCUACGGGAGAAAGCAGGGGAUCACUUGUGACCUUGCGCUAAUAGAUGAGCCUAAGUCGGAUUAGCUAGUUGGUGGGGUAAAGGCCUACCAAGGCGACGAUCUGUAGCGGGUCUGAGAGGAUGAUCCGCCACACUGGGACUGAGACACGGCCCAGACUCCUACGGGAGGCAGCAGUGGGGAAUAUUGCACAAUGGGCGCAAGCCUGAUGCAGCCAUGCCGCGUGUAUGAAGAAGGCCUUCGGGUUGUAAAGUACUUUCAGCGGGGAGGAAGGCGGUGAGGUUAAUAACCUCGCCGAUUGACGUUACCCGCAGAAGAAGCACCGGCUAGCUCCGUGCCAGCAGCCGCCGUAA